AGCUUUUAUUCUAUUUUGGACACAAAGUUUACGUUGAUGUGUUGUGUUUAUAUACUUUUGGGCAAUGUUGGAUUGCUCAGUGAAAUCCUAUUGUACAUAAAGGUUCUGUAUUUAAUUUAUUAGAAAGGAGAACUGUGACUUUAAAUAAUUCGACUUGUAUAGCUGACGUCAUCCACCCUGUGUGCACAAGCAGUUAGUCAACAAUGAAUAGACCAGGCUUCCGAAAUAAUCAAGUGUUGUAUAUUCUGUCACGCUUCAUUUUUGCUCCAGUGAACCCUCAUCUUAGAAGAGAAGCAUUUGGAGUGCCAACCAGAAGUUCUAAAGAAAGGAAAAACAAAACUUUAGCAAGACCUUUCGCAAGACUUUUCUGCUAAAGAAUUUAAUGCAAAGAUUUUCCUCACUGUUUAUAAUUGUCAAUACUGAUGUCAUUGGGCCUAAAGGUGGAAAUGUUUGUCUCAUACACAGUACUGCAUUAGGUAUAAUUGGGGAAACUGUCAAAAUGUUAUUGUCCAUAGCUCAUACACAGUACUGCAUUAGGUAUAAUUAGGGAAACUGUCAAAAUGUGAUUGUCCAUAGCAAUACUUUCGAUGGUCUUGAAGUUCUCACAUGGGAAUACUAUCUUUUGUCAUGUAACAUUUAGUUCACAUUUGAAGAUUUGGAUUUCUGAUGCUUCAUUGUAUUGGGUGCUUGUCACAGGUGCUGUAUAGGUUGGUUAUUUAUGACUCUGAUGUCCUAAAAGGAAAAUGUGAUUUUUUUUGUUUUGUUUUGUUAUAUUUACUUUUAUCUUUUCUCCAAGUCUCUGAUCUUAAAGGCAGUGUAUUUAGUGUUCAGUGGUGUGGGGGCAAAGCCCCCAGGUUGGGGAUGGGUUCAUGGUUUGCAUUCACUCCUACAAAAAACACUGAUAUUUAACCAAUCUAAGAUGUUUGGCUUUGCAGCAAUAUGUGCAUGCAUUAUUAUGAAGUUUAGGUGCUUCAUUUAUGAUAUUUGAUUAGGUAAGACUGUCCAUUUCAUUAUGAAUCCCCUGCAUAAUUCAUUUUAGUGAUUGUGUCAUAUUAUGUACUCCCUUAGGUGGCAAGAAAAUCUUGGCUACAUGAGUGUGAACGUAUGAAUUUUAGUUCCUGAAUGGACUGAAAAUUAGAUAUUUCUGUCUUUAUUAGAAAGUAUAAGGAUUUGAAGGAUUUGUGAUAUUUUAAAGGUGCGAAGGGUAUCUGAGAGAGUGGACCACUACAAGUCAGUCUUUCAAUCUAAGGAACUAGUAACAUACUGCUGGUAGAGAAACCCAAUUACCACAACUAAAACACAUAACCAUGGGAGCUACUAGGGUAGAAGCAUAAUUAAAAACAUAGAAGGCAAACAUCUGUUAUGUGGACCAGCAGAACAAAGCGCCCAGUCUAGGCCCAGAGCAGACAUAAUUAACACAAGUGUGACCCUGCGUACAUCUUUAAAACUUGUUUGUGUGAGGCUACCUCUUCCAUUUCAGUUGUUCCUAGUUAAGUCAGCCCUUCUGGCCUACAGGAAAUGGUAUCCCCAGUCACCUCUUACAAAGUCUGCCUUUCUGAACUUAGUGUUUCUAGGUCGCAGUGCUUUUUAAGGUGGUAAAAUCCAUCCUUGUUUUACGCAAUGUAAAUUAGACAUGUGACGGGUAUGAGACAGCAGGACAGGGCUUUAAAUGAGUAGAUAUGAAGGCUGUUCUAACCGUGCUUGUGUGCAUAGUGACUUUAUAUUUAUUUCAGUUUAAACAGAAGCCGUUGUUGGUCAGUAACAAUGGAGAUAGAUCAGAUGGAGUGUGAGUCAUGAUGUGUAAUGUCUUUUUCAUUUAGUUAUUGAAUUCAAUUAAUUUUCAACAGUAAUAGGAUAUCCAGAGAUGUUUACUUUUCAUGAUAAAUUAACAGGCUAAAUGACCAAGACUUUCAGUGUUUAUCUUUCCAGCUUGUGUGUCUUUAGCAGAACUAAUAAAGUUUAGUUUUUUUAUAAGAUUAAGAUUAUACAUAAGGAUAGCAUAAAACCAGUGGCUUCCUCCCUGAUGGUGCUUUGGCUGAUAUAUAGUACUGUUAAGUAGCCACUGCUGCAGAAAUAUGUGCUCUGGUAAGAUAUGGUGCUGUUAUAGGUAGAAAAUACCACUUGUAAUUAAUUGUGACAUAUUGCAUUUAAAGCGAGAUGCAUUCUUCCUUGUGACUGUAUCUAAUUAGUUAGUAGCAUUUAUGGUACCCAGUAUUGAGAUUAAAAAAAAUAAAUGAAUAAAAGCUUAUUCCAA